UGUCAACACCAUCUGCUCCACAAAGGAAAGUUGCUGAUUAUUGCAUCUCUAAGUGGAGUCGGUUCUCUCCCACGAUAGCAGAAGGCUUUCACAUUCACUAUACUGUUAUGGACAUGGAGGAUGGGAACCAUUGCUUUGUUUACUCUGCAACUGAGCCAGGCUGGUGUGCAGUGUCUAGGCAAUGGGCUUACAAAAGAAAACUACCUGCCUCCUGAGUCUUCUG
rnacentral:lncRNA from 1 species